UUGUAUUUGUUUUUCUUCGCAGGGGGAGGGCUCUUGGCCGGACAAUUACAAGUUCUGUGCCCCAGCCACCAUAACCUUAUUCCAGUUAUUUCCUUGUUUGCCAGUCUGCAACAUGCGUCAAAACCACUGGAGAGUAAGAAAAAACAUAAUAUAGAAUCAAGCAUUGCUGAGCCACAAGUCUAAUUAACCCUGAAAAUAAGAUGAAGAUGUCCAGGCAGUCAGCUUUAAAGGUUAAGCCUGAAAGGUCAACUUGAUUAAAAGUAGAUAACAAACCACAUACAAUCCUCUCAUUUCUCCUGAAUCAGAUUCCUAUUUUGGUCAAAUGUAGGAGUUCCUCAAAGUAAUCUCAUUUUGGAUUUGAGCUCAGAUAGCCAGAAGCGACUGAUUAAAUGGGUCCCGGUCGGACACAAGCACAUUCCUAAAACUGAGAUUAUUCUUCUUCAAGAGCUUUUUAAUACAUCUGAUGCAACACUGAUGGAAGACCACUGAGUUUGUAGGUGUUCUCUGAAAACCUGACAGAGACUUAAGCCCCAGCCUUUACGAUCAAAUGCUCAGCAGAGGGUUUCUGCACUUCAGAAACUUUAAAGCAGAUGAUUCAUUUGUUUAUUGGAAACAUGAUGUUCACUUAAUCCUCACUGUUUCUUUGCUUUUUUCCAAGGAAGCUUCCUGGCUUUAUGUUGUCCUUUAUGAGAACUUGCUGAUGUCUGAGGAUGAUUUACUUCAAAUCAGCUUUUUUGUGUGUGUGUUCACUGACAGGAUGAACUCUCUGCUGUUCAUGUAAAAGUAUGAAACCUUUCCAUAAAAGAAAUCUUGUAAUGGUGUGCAGAGCUGGAGAAACACAUUCUCCACAAAUUCUGUUGAAAAAUGUGUUGUUUUGAAGAUGCAUUUCAUUAUGGUUGAUGAUGUAACUAAUAGAAGUGGCAUUACCAUAAAACUGAACAUUAACGGGUUCUUCGCAACUGUAAAAUUGCGGCUUCCACCUCUUGCAUAUUCAGAAGACUUAACAGCAUCCAUCUCCUUAGAAAGUCAAAGAAAAACCUAACAAAGAGCAAACGGGGGAAGUAGAAGCGUUUAAUGGGUUUAUAGGACACAGUUCCAAAGAGCAAAAUUGCUUUUCAGUCAAAAAAGGUCACAGUGACAUUUAUUUUCUCUGUUCUAAGGAGAAAUGGUUGGCUCAUGUCAUGAUCAAAUUUUGAAAUAAAUUAGACAAAAAAGUCUCUGAAAAGGGAUAGAAAGUGUGAAUUUUAGCACACUUCUCUGUAUGUUUCCUUCUUGUUUUCAUUUAAUUUUUGUAGUGCAGUUUGUAUUGAUGUACUCUUCUUAAAAUGUUUUUUUUCCCCUCAGGAUUUGAACACCAAGAAGCGUCUGCAUCUUUUUUGUUAUGACUGCAAGCUUGCAUCAUUUUCAGAGAAUCAGUGAGAAAAGUCGGUCAUCCGCAUGGAGCUGCUAACAGAAGACGGCGUUCAUUCUCCAGCACAUUUUUGCUGACUAGUUAAACAACUUUGGUCUCAUCUUUCUUUGAAGGUCAGCAAAAGCCUCUUAAAAGUGAACAUCUGAGUGAAGUGAAUCACUCUAGCCAAACAAAUGAAAGGAUAGGAUUCAUGUAGGUGCCUUUUCUGUUCUCUGAGGCUCAGUAAGACCCUCAAAUCAAGACAUUCCUAAUUUUUCACAGUGAGGGGCUGUAUUCUUUCAGAGAGCGUCAGGAAUUAAGACGUUCACUCAGUCUCUCAGUCCUUCAGCAGGCACCAGAGUGCUCGGUUAUUUACGAGCAUCCUUCUUUUAAAGACGAAUCACCUGGAAUUAUCUCAGUUCAUAUCUACGACUGGAACUUUAGUGCCGGGAUAAAGUGCGCUUCACUGCCCAUUUCACUUGAUUGAAUACGGCGAGCUUUCAAAUAACAUAAAAGCUGCUGCUACUGCUCAGUGCGCUGCCAAGUGCUCAGAGUGAGAGGAAAGUUUUUCUUUUUGCUGGAAAUUUAACUUCAGCAGGAGCAUCCUCCAUCUUCCCGUGUGCGUCUGUGGUGGGGAUUUGCCUUAAGUUCAAGAGGAUCAACAUUUCUCCCUGGCAGGAACAAAAUAUAUCAAUCUUGAACCGCAUUCCUUUAAGACAUGAAACUAUUUGAUUUCUUUUUAAAGACGUGGCUUCUGGUGCUGUGCAGCAAUUUUUCAUCAUUUUAAUCAAUUUAACAUUAAUCAAACUUAAGGAAGAGGUUUUGUCGAGACCGUAGAUAAAGACAUUCCCACGUUUGGAGGAUUUUGUUUUGUAAUGUCAAAGAUGAAUGCCUCCUUAUUUUGUUUCUGUAAGUUAUUUUUGGGAUUGCGUGUCAAGCAUAAGUCUUGUGUGUCCUGACGUGUCCCAUCAUGGCAUCAAACAAUAGCUCAUUUAACUUCUGGCCAGUGUCCAGAUGCUCUGUAUGAAAGUAUCAGGUUUUAUCCAUCUUAGUUUAAGAAUUUCCCUGCUGUGGAGGAUUAACAGGUGAAAGGUCAGAGUCUGGCUAUAACCUUGUGCUGCUCAAACCGAUGGGAAGUGAUUAUAGUGAAGCUCAGCCUAUUGACACCAUGUGUUCUGUAUUAUGCACUUUAGUAGGUGAAACAAUGUUUUUGAUCAUUACAGGAGCAGUGCAGUGACCUAAAAAUGUCCUGUUGUGUCACCAGGAUGUCAGAGGAUCCUUUGGGUGCUGUGGGUUGUAGAAUGGGUUUGCUGUCCCAUCCUACUGAUCUAGUUCUUGCGAGGUCUGAAACAGUGUUUAGAUUGGUGUUAUGUGACAAAAUAACAACCACAUGAAUGCCAGGAUGUUUUUAUAGCAGAACACUGUAGCAAGAUACUCAACAUGUCUCCCGUUUCAGUUUAGCUCUCUUUGUCAUGUGUCAUGGUGAGCGUGUUGGUCAUGCUUUUCAUUCACGUUGCAUUGCUAAAGUUGUGCGAACUAUAGCUUAAAUUUCUCCCUGUUUGUUUAUGUAACAACAUCGCUGUAGUUAUGCCAACCUUGCAUACCGUUAGCUCGCAGCUUAAAAGCCAGUAAGCAACUGCAGAAAUAAUGUAAAUGUACAACAUAUUUGAGAGUUCAGAACGAUUGUUCAUCACUACGUCAGCAGCGUUUUGAGACGCAUUUAAGGAGGAGUGAUGUGAACGCAGAGGGGAGGAGAUUUAUUCAGUUCAAAUGAUGAACAUUACUGUCUGUCUUCAGCAACCGUUAUGACGUCUCUCUUAGUUUUACUUUGUCAGAAAAUACUACAACACAGUGAUGCAGGCUGCAACAGCAACUCACUGCGUGUUGUUAUGGAGUAACAUUAGUGUCGGACUUUUUGUGACCAUUAUAUAUUUAAAAUGUGACUGUGUCAAAGACGACAUGUUUUGACAUCUGAGAAAAACCGUCUCUGGUUUUCAUUUUGGUUCAUAUAAGUCCUGACUUCAUGGCAAAGAUAAUAAUGGAUUAGAGAAAAUGUGAUUUAACAUGAAAGGGCAGCAGAGGUCUGUGUAAGUAAUGUUUUACCAGUAACUUGACUCAUUAUGUUGCUUAUACAGCAUAUAUACGUAUAAAACUCUAAUAUGCAGCAACAAGAAGUACAAGAUAAGAUGUGUUUCAUAGCUCAUUGAUAGAUUGACUCUUUUUUAAGGUUAUGUAUUUUCCCAGAGAUUCAAUGUUUUGUUGCAUGUUUUUGUACUUGAAAAUUCCUCUCUGUUGUAAAGUUAAACAAAUAAAGGACAAAGUAUUGUAAAA